ensembl:antisense Brip1os BRCA1 interacting protein C-terminal helicase 1, opposite strand
GACCGGGACAAGUUCCGCACAUUUGCUUGAAGGAAAAAAAAAAAUUCUUGUACUGUGAGACUUUAAGAAGCACAAAAUGGGCGUUAGACGGGUCUUACAUUUGGUGCAUUGACCGGGAAUCGUCCUGCUGGCGGGUCCAGUGACAGGAGACCGGAGGAUUGUUCGAGCAGGUUAAAAGGCCUGCAACUGGUGCAGAGAGAAGUGUGAUCACAGCUGGCAGCUGCAUAUGAGCCUGAUACUCCUAAGACAUCGCAUCAGUUCGAGGUUGGAGAUUCAUUCUACGUGAGGCAACAUCGUGCCCAGAGGCUCGAGCCCCAUUGGAAAGGAUCCUAUCUAGUACUGCUAACUACUCCAACGGCUGUCAAAGUGGAUGGAAUUGCUGCCUGGAUACAUGCCUCACAUGUGAAGCCAGCCCCCUUAGCUGAGACCAGAAUUCCAGGAAACCACCCUGUCUGGAAGGCCCAGGCUACGGAGAACCCUCUGAAAGUGAAGAUCGUCAAAGGGUCCAAAGAUGCAAGCCCUUCCCCUGCCUAGCAAGAGCACUGGGAUCCUUUAGGACCAGAGUUAUGGAUGGCUAUCAGAUGCCUUAUGAGUGCUAGCAACUGAAUACGAGUCCUGAAAAGCAGAGAAAAACAACUGUGAAACUCUGAAACAUGAAGAAAUCCUUACCUGCACAGAAACAGUGCUCUUGAUAUGAGGAGGAAGAGUUUGGACCAUUUCCAAGAAGCAUCGAAGGAGCCCCAAAGUCCAUACAUUAGAAGAGUUAGUGCUCUCGUCUUUAUUUUCAUAUGUAAAAGGAUCGAUUAUAUAAACAACAAUUGCAGGAGGACACAUCAGGAUGUGGCUGAGUGGGAAGAGAAGCUGACUCCCCUGAUAUUCCUGCUGCCUGCAGAGAUGACGACUGCUGUCCUCCUAGCUGGCCACUCUGAACCGUACUUGCUUGUGCAGACAUGGAUCCUGUACCACUAGUGUUCAUACUGCCAAAGGGUGGAAACGAAGGCAGUUUAUUUGAUGAUACUCCACUACUCAGACUGGAAGAUGAUGAAGAUGAAGUUGUGGUCAAAGUUGAAUUAGCUGUGGCAACUGAAGUAGAUAUGGGAACACCUGAAGUCAUUGUCAUAGUGCUACUUGCCGCAGAUGCUAAGGUGGCAGAUGGAGCAUUAGCGUUUCCAGUAUUUGUCAUCUGAGGUGCAGUAACCAAAGACUGAUUUGGAGGGGCAACUAAAUUUGGCUGGGAGAGCAGAGAGCUGUCCAACGGCUGAGAAGCAAGAUAUGGACCUAAAGAACAAAAACGGCAUCUUGAAGAACUGGCUGAAGAGAAAGGAGCAUCCGAAGUAUAUCCUGUGAACACUGCACGCUCGCAUCUACGAUCAUUAAAAAAAAGUCACCUCUCAAACUACAGGAUCAAAGAACAGAAAAAUCAUUCUAAAGACUGAAGAAAAAAAAAUUACAUGGUAGAACUAUGAAACUUGAUCAUCUAUCUUUCAAACAUACCCACAUCAAGAUUUACAGGAAACCAUGUCAAGGUGACUUUAACAUGAGAGUAAAAAUCAAUCAAAUGUGUUUUAUUAUAAAAUAUUUCCUACUGUUCAGAGCUAAAACAUAGUAAUAAAGUCAUAAAUCACUUCCAAAACUCAAACUGUUAUGAAAUCAAUGAAAUUUAACUUAAUCCUAAUCAUUAGUAGGAUACUUACUGUUAAUUCAUCUUCAUCAGAAUUGAAGAGGUUAUCAAGGUCAGUGUAAGACACAGCCAAAUCUGAGUCAUAAAUCAAACUGGUUGAUGGAGGACGGGCAUGAUUUGUAGGGCGUGGAGCAUCUACAUGUGACAAUCAGAAAAAAAUAAACUGAAAACUCAACUAUUAGCCAAGUAGUAUUCUGUUUAACUAAACAAGAGAGAAAACCUAAUGUUCACAACAACUAUGCAACACGAUUAUUCUAGUCACUAAUUUAAAAUCUGAAAUUCUUUUCUCAUAAAUAAAGCUUCCCGAGGAAGCUCCAAAAGUUACAUAAUCUACACCAUAGUUAAGCUCUGUAGAAAAGGUCAUAAAAAUACAAAUGCCAUUAGAAUGAUACUUAAAAACACAUACUUUUCCUUUUUUGUGUGUGUUAUGUGAUGUGAUUGAAUAUAUGCAGAUUCACAGGUACCUGCGCACAUUAUAUGCAUAAUGUGGAAGCCAGAGGUUGACAUGGGGCAUCUGCCUUAGUUGCUUCCUAACUUAUACAUUAAGUAUGGUCUCUCCUUUGAACCUAGAGCGCACUGAUUCAAUGAGUCCAGCUAUCCAGCUUUCUCUGGGAACUCCCUAGCUCCUCUUCUCCGAUGCUAGAAUUUCAGGCAGGCUCCAUCACACUUGCCUGACAUUUAUGUGGCUACUGAAGAUCCCAACUUGCACUGUCAUGCUUGUCCGGCAAACAAUUUAAAAGCUAAGCCAUCUAUCCAGGCCUUUUUCAUUUUGAAACAGAUGGGAUUUAUUUAAGCAAAUAAGGCUGCAUGUAAAUAUCGUAAUAAAGAUGAUAGAAUCACAGAAUAUCAAGCUAAUUAUGUAUGAUGAAUACAUGUUAAGUAUCUGUUAAAAAAAAGAAAUAUUUAUAGAUAAUAAUGGAGUA